GUCACAACUCGGGUCACUCCACAUUGAACUUUGAGCGAUAAACCAUAACCACCACCACCACCUCCAUUGGAGAAAAAAUGCUUCGCCGUUUGGGUGUAUGUCUCUGAAACGCGGCGGUUUGGGCCGGUUGUUUUUGGGCCCAAUGUCGAGCAGUAUAAUAAUGAGAAGCAGUAGUGUUAUUGGUAUAAUGCAAGAAAAGAGUGAACGUAUCGUUGUCUAGUGUCUUUCGUUCUCGUUCUCGUGUUUCUGAAGAUGGCGCUAACAAGACUACCAGAAAGAUUCCCAAUUGGUCUACGGGUAAUCGAUUUCAAUACCAAGUCAUGUCUUCUCAUUACUCUACAAAUUCUGUCACGGAGGCUAUCACAAAAGGGGCUUCUGAUUAUUGGAUUAAGCCAUUGGAAGAACGAGACUUCCAGACUAUGUGGAAGCAUGUCGUAAAAGGACUUAUUAUUAAUGAAAAUCAAAAUAUGAACGGCAUCUUCCAUAUCAACAACAAACGGGGGAGAGAACAAGUCGAUGUUCCAAAGCAAACAAUUGAUGAAAACCAUAGUCAUAAUGAUGAUUAUCCAUCCCCGGCAAAGAAGUUCCGGUGGUCAUGGACUCAACAGUUGCAUAAUCAAUUUGUAACAGUGGUCAAUGAAUUAGGCCUUGAAAAUGCAAAGCCCAAAAAAAUACUCAAAAUAAUGGAUGUUCCUGGUUUAACCCGAGAACACAUUGCUAGCCAUUUGCAGCAAAGGGUUUCAUGGUUCAAGUUUGUCGACUGCAUAUAGACAACUUUCACAUGCUUGGUAUGCAACAUUGUGUCUUUCCUAUUUUUAUUAUCUGUGAUUGAAGAUUGUUGGCACAAAUUGAAGGUACAUAUUCAUAUAUAAUAUUAAUCAAUCAGUGCAUCAAAAAGGAGAGAACAUUUCUUUCCACACUCAAUAGCCACUUUCACUGUCGGAAUUUGGCUUGUAUUAUGAGACAUUGCAUUUGCAGGUCCUAGCGCUUGGAAUUGAGAACUCACAAAUGUCUGAAGGGUUGUAUAAUGAAAGGACAAACUAGAAUUGCAUGGUAAAAUAAUGCAUCAGCUGAAGUGCUCCAAUUAAAAGGAUCCUUUUUUAACAAGUCGGUGAGAGGACCAACAAUGCUCGCAUAAGACUUGAUAAAUCUUCGAUAAUAUCUUGUCAAACCUAAAAAGCCCUUCAGUUAUUUGAGGUUCACCGGUCUUGUGGCCAAUCCACCACUGCCAUCACUUAAGAUUUUUCUUUUGUGACCCCUUCUCUUUAUAAUAUAUCUCCAACUUACCAAAUGAACAUUUAACAAACAAUUGAUGCUGUUGUAGCACCCAUUCUUUCGAAGUGUUGUAAGUGUAGUAGUGGCCAUGAGGAACUAUAGAGGAUGAGCAUAUCAUCAAAGAAUACCAGUACAUAUUUUCUUAAGGCCUUCUCAAAAAUAUUAUUAUUCAUCGAACAUUGGAAGGGUGGAAUUGUAUGGAGGGAGGCCUGCUGUAACAACAUAGCCAAUUCUGGUUCAAAGUUAAGGUGGCUUAAUCAGCAAUGGUUAUUAACAUUAUUUAGGCGAAUUUCAAUGAAUCUGCCUUAAGUAGAAUGAAUUAGCUUCCUUGUGUCAAAUUCAAUAGGUAAGACCAAUGCUUAUUAACCUUAGUUAGUAAUAACAAGUUUUAGUUUGUACUUAGAAUUUGAUAUUUCUAGAAGACUAUAUAUGGUGUGAUGUACUUUUAUUUCAUUAUUAUUUUUCAUAAUAAUUUUUUGCUACUUGAUGUUGAUAAUAUUACAAUGCUACCAUCUUUUUCAGUUAUAUGACUACUAUUACAUUUAUUCAUCAAGUCAACGGGUAAGAUCCUCUCAAAAUUUCCAUUAUCGAAGUUGUGUAUAUAUAGACACAUUUUUAGAACAUGUAACAAUGUAAUGUACAUUAAACAUUUAUAUCACUCUAUAAGUUUACACACAAAAUCAUAAUAAUGAAAUUCUCUAUUUU